AGAGUUUGAUCAUGGCUCAGGAUGAACGCUGGCGGCGUGCCUAACACAUGCAAGUCGAGCGAUUCACUUCGGUGAAGAGCGGCGGACGGGUGAGUAACGCGUGGGUAACCUGCCUCAUACACAUGGAUAACAUACCGAAAGGUAUGCUAAUACAAGAUGAUAUAAGAGAUUCGCAUGGAUUUCUUAUCAAAGCUCCGGCAGUAUGAGAUGGACCCGCGUCUGAUUAGCUAGUUGGUAAGGUAACGGCUUACCAAGGCGACGAUCAGUAGCCGACCUGAGAGGGUGAUCGGCCACAUUGGAACUGAGACACGGUCCAAACUCCUACGGGAGGCAGCAGUGGGGAAUAUUGCACAAUGGGCGAAAGCCCGAUGCAGCAACGCCGCGUGAGCGAUGAAGGCCUUCGGGUCGUAAAGCUCUGUCCUCAAGGAAGAUAAUGACGGUACUUGAGGAGGAAGCCCCGGCUAACUACGUGCCAGCAGCCGCGGUAAUACGUAGGGGGCUAGCGUUAUCCGGAAUUACUGGGCGUAAAGGGUGCGUAGGUGGUUUCUUAAGUCAGAGGUGAAAGGCUACGGCUCAACCGUAGUAAGCCUUUGAAACUGGGAAACUUGAGUGCAGGAGAGGAGAGUGGAAUUCCUAGUGUAGCGGUGAAAUGCGUAGAUAUUAGGAGGAACACCAGUUGCGAAGGCGGCUCUCUGGACUGUAACUGACACUGAGGCACGAAAGCGUGGGGAGCAAACAGGAUUAGAUACCCUGGUAGUCCACGCCGUAAACGAUGAGUACUAGCUGUCGGAGGUUACCCCCUUCGGUGGCGCAGCUAACGCAUUAAGUACUCCGCCUGGGAAGUACGCUCGCAAGAGUGAAACUCAAAGGAAUUGACGG
rnacentral:rRNA from 1 species